UACGGGGGGGGCAAGCGUUGUUCGGAAUUACUGGGCGUAAAGGGCUCGUAGGCGGCCAACUAAGUCAGACGUGAAAUCCCUCGGCUUAACCGGGGAACUGCGUCUGAUACUGGAUGGCUUGAGGUUGGGAGAGGGAUGCGGAAUUCCAGGUGUAGCGGUGAAAUGCGUAGAUAUCAGGAGGAACACCGGUGGCGAAGGCGCUCAUCUGGCCCAAUACUGACGCUGAGGCGCGAAAGCUAGGGGAGCAAACGGG
rnacentral:rRNA from 1 species